UUGUGAGUGAAAAAGGAAGAGAAGCAGCAUGAACCCACCAAAGCCUCGAUAUGAAAGUCUGUCAAGCUUUACUCUGUUUCAUCUUCCUCAACCUGCAGGAUGGAAACACUGGACUUGCCAACGCUGAAACUCUCGUCUAUGAAGGAGUGGAAGGAGGAAACAUCACAGUCGAAUGCAAAUUUUAUAUCCUUGGAAGAAAGACAUUGUUCUGCAAAGACGAAUGUGAAAAAGGAAACGUUCUCAUUGAAACACCUGAUUACACAGCCCAGAGUGGCAGAUACAGAAUCAAAUAUGAAAAAAAUUAUUUCUCAAAGGAUAUCGUGCACGUGAGCAUCACACAGCUGAAAAAGUCUGACUCAGGAUGGUACAGAUGCACACUGGACACAACUUUACAACCAUGUGAUUUCAAGAUCUUUGUCAAAGAAGUCUCCAUGACAACAACAAGAACAACAACAAUACCUGACUCAGGAUUUACCAGGAACUGUGCGUCUCCGCCUCUCUUGUCUUUCAUCCAGGUUUCUCCUUGCAUUUGGUUGUAAGUAUAACUGUGGUGGUGGUUCUGCUGCCUGUUGCUCUGCUGCUUAUCUACAGAAAAUGGGCUGGUGGCUCUUUCGGUGAGUUACUUUCCAACAUUAUCUGCACAUUUGAUAUUCAUUAAUUCAAAAUAUUUCUUUUGCCACUGAUUGGUUGCUGACGUGCCCAGGUUACGUCACAGUUUAUAUCCAACAGGCAAAAGCACUCACAAUGCACUUUGCUGAAAAUGUUUUAGGUUCUGAAAAAACAUGUAAGAAUUCAGUGAAUAAAGUUAAUAGUAACUUUCUGUCUUUUCUACAGGUCUGAACAGCAGGAGACACUCAGAACAAGGCCAGACUGAGAUUAGUCUCAGUGAACGCUAUCAUCCAGUCUCCUCAUGUGAAGACUCGAUCUACCAAAGCCUCAAUAUGGCGAGCAGAGAUCACGACCAAAUCUACUCUACACUCAGACACAAUAACCAGUUUUCAGACAUGAGCUCCUGUCAGACUGAAUGACUGCAUGAAACAUGGCAAUAGUACUUCUAUUGUUUACGUUACCAGGCUCAGUGAUGAGGAUUUUGUCGUCAGACUUUGAGCUCAAGGUUUUGUGCAGACGUCCACGUGCCUGCCAACUUUUAAUGAUGGCAGAUAUGAGUCAUUUGCAGAGGACAGGAAACUCCUCUACAGUGCACCAACUAUGAGUUCAAGAAAAUGUAACGGAGUAGUGUCAGAGACUAUUGUUAAAAUUAUAAUAUUAUUUUAUGCCAUGUCAUACCCUAAUUAAAGAUUGUGAAUUAUUACUGUAGUUUUAGUUUGCAUUAUUCUCCUGAAUUAGAGGAAGCUGAUAACUAUUGCAUUAGUUAAACUGAUUUGCAUUACAUUAGACUGCUGAUUUAUUGUGAUGAGAACAAAGCAGAACGAGCAGCAGUGGCAGCAGCUGAACUCUGACCUGAACAAAAAUCUUGACUUGGCUGGGAGAGACAGAGGAAGAGCUGGCGCAGCAGCGUAGACUGGAGCUUGGCACGGACAUCCAGACGAUUGAGCUGCGUAUCAAAACCAACUGGACGACACUGGUAGCUGCAGCAAUAAAAUAAAGGCUAAAAGCUCCUUGGACAGAGGUUCUAGGCUGAGUACGUGUGAAGGGUAUAAGGUAGCACCAAAUAAAGCUGGGGGAGAACUGGGGAGUGUCAUCUGUAGCCGGCUACUGUUGUAAUAAUAGUUUUUCUUACAUCUGAACUGCGCAAACACAGAGGUCAUCUCACAUAUGGUUCGCCCAUCAGGGGGACAAAGGACCUCAGGAGUGAGAAGAGAUGAACCCGGCCACACUGGAUUAUAGGGUGUUGGUGAGCUCAUUAUUCUAAUGAGCUCAUGAUGAGCUCAUUAUUCUAAUGAGCUCAUCAGGGGGAGUGUAAGAUUAUAAUAUUAUUUUAUGCCAUGUUAUACCCCUAGUUAAAGAUUGUGAAUUAUUAUGUAGUUUUAGUUUGCAUUAUUCUCCUGAAUUAGA